rnacentral:rRNA from 1 species
GGCGAACGCUAGCGGCGCGCCUAACACAUGCAAGUCGUGCGGGAAAGGGCUUCGGCCCCAGUACCGCGGCAGACGGGUGAGUAACACGUGAGUAACCUGUCCUCGGGUCUGGGAUAACCACCCGAAAGGGUGGCUAAUACCGGAUAAAGUCACCGGGCGCAAGCUCGGUGAUGAAAGGGGGCCUCUGCAUAGCAAGCUCCUGCCUGAGGAGGGGCUCGCGGCCCAUCAGCUAGUUGGUGGGGUAACGGCCCACCAAGGCUAUGACGGGUAGCCGGCCUGAGAGGGUGGUCGGCCACACGGGCACUGAGACACGGGCCCGACUCCUACGGGAGGCAGCAGUGGGGAAUCUUGGGCAAUGGGCGAAAGCCUGACCCAGCGACGCCGCGUGGGGGAAGAAGGCCUUCGGGUCGUAAACCCCUGUUCUGGGGGAAGAACCCUGGCUGGGUUAAGAGCCCAGUCAGGCUGACGGUACCCCAGGAGAAAGCCACGGCUAACUGCGUGCCAGCAGCCGCGGUAAUACGCAGGUGGCGAGCGUUGCCCGGAAUUACUGGGCGUAAAGGGUGCGUAGGCGGCCGGACAAGUCGUAGGUUAAAGCCCGGGGCUCAACCCCGGAAAGGCCUACGAUACUGUCUGGCUUGAGGGCUGGAGAGGCUGGCGGAAUUCCCGGUGUAGGGGUGAAAUCCGUAGAUAUCGGGAGGAACACCGGAGGGGAAGCCGACCAGCUGGACAGCUCCUGACGCUGAGGCACGAAAGCGUGGGGAGCAAACCGGAUUAGAUACCCGGGUAGUCCACGCCGUAAACGAUGGGUGCUAGGUCUGGGGAGGUAAUCUCUCUGGGCCGAAGCUAACGCGUUAAGCACCCCGCCUGGGGAGUACGGCCGCAAGGCUGAAACUCAAAGGAAUUGACGGGGGCCCGCACAAGCGGUGGAGCACGUGGUUUAAUUCGAUGCAAAGCGAAGAACCUUACCCGGGCUUGACAUGCCCAGGUUGUACCCCGGUGGAAACACUGGGGGAGCGUGGGG